GGACCCGUCUUACAUUACCAUGAAAUAGUUGGUAUUCUUGGUCAGAUUUAUCUGUGGAAAGUGUUACACGUAAUGACCAGCACGUUUGAGCGGUUUUUGCGGCUGUACUGGCGGUAUCUUGGAUUCAUCAGUGGUCGAACUACACCGAUUUCCUCAGCAAUAAUUCUUCCAUAAAGAGCCUCAUUUUUCGUCUUCCCGUGAGUGCCCAACUCGAGGUGUCCCACAGUCCUUUGAUGCAUAUCAAGUCCUGAUUGCACCUCUGACUUCAUACACACCACUGAGUUCCCAAAUCAUUCCUCUUUCCAUUUAUGGUGGUGGAUUUUCGUGAUGCUUUCUGUAUCACCCUCAAUAAUACACUAAGGUACUUGUAUUCUCUUACCGUCGGUAUUUCCUGGACCUGCAUUGAUGCGACCGGAUUAUUGGUAUCGUUCAUUAUUAUCAAUCUACAUUUUGUUACACUAAAUCCUAGUUCUACACCUUCACCUUCCCUUCCGCAUGUGUCUUAAUUUCAUGUGCUGUUUUACAAGUUACAAUGAGAUGUAUAUCAUCGCGGUUAUCCGCGAAUAAGACAAUAUCCUUAUAACAUAAACCUGGAAGCUGCUGCUCUCGAGUCACACUCACCUGUUAUUGUGGCAUAUGGAAACCAGUGUUGUUUCAUUCUCACUUAUUUCCAUCCGCACCAUGUAUAACAUGAAUAACAGCUGAGACAGCGGACAUUCCUGCCUCAGCCUUUUGCUUAUAUCAAUGUUCUCUUUCCUACUUAUUCUUUCUCAUUCCAUGCAGACUAUGAUUUCUCGGUGUAUCUUCCUCAGAAGCUUAUACGGUCAUUACGUAUGCCAGCUUCUUUCAAUAUAGUCCUUAAGAUUUUCUAAUUAACGUUUUGAUGCACCCCAGAGAUGUCUAGAAAAGCCACGUUUAAUAAUCUGUUUCAUAUUCUAAUAGAUAUUUCUCUACACUGUGUAAGAACAAAUAGGUUAUCCUCUAACGCCUGCCGAUUUGGAAUACGCUCUGAAGUUGCUCCAAAAUACCGUAUCUUCUACCCAUGUUUAUAUUUUUUGUUUCAUUGCUUGCAUUGUCAACCUUUAUGAUACCGAUGUAAUGGCCAGUCAUCUACGUGAGCAAAUGUUAUUUUUCUCUGCCUUGCCUUGAUAAAUUAAGUGCUGCAUGGUUUGUGUAAGCACCCCCCAAUGCUGUGCAAUACGGUCAUGUCUAAUGGUGCACAUCUGCCCAUGCAGCAAACAACAGUAAAUACGUACAAGUUAACAUAUUUUAAGUCUAUUAAAAGUAGCUUAAAAUGUACAUUGAUAACCGUUUCAUGGUUUAUCUAGCCA